ensembl:lncRNA
GUUGAGGAGGAAUUGGAAGUUUGUCGGCUUAGACCUGGUGUCAUUCCAUCAGUGUUAAACUUCCCAGCUCAUCUUGGAAGAGUACGUGCCACAAAGACCACAACCAAGCAGCCUUGAGAUCUUAGACAGCGUCUCCCUGAGGUCCCUCUCUAUCUCCCCACACAUCCACCAACCACUGGAACACAUCUCCAAAGUUCUGCCGGGCCAGCUCAGCUUCCCCUCAGAAGAAGUGCUGCCACCUGCCAGAUGAAGGAGCCUUUUGAGAGGCAGCUGGCAUCGUGAUUGGACUGUACUUUGGUCUGUUCCAAUCCAGCUUCAGCUCCAGAGACGGCAGGCAGGACGAGUCAACGGAGGCCUGGUGGACGAAGGCAUGCAGCUGAGUACAAUCCAGAAAACAACAGAGGAGGAGUGCAGCAGCCCAGUAUAGCCUUCGACCAAAGAACUACAGACUCUUUACAACCUGCUCAAACUCUUGGUACAGGACCUCACCACACGGGUCAAGAAGGUUUCCGUCUCAUUUCUACUCUGAAGCUCACCUUCUCCUGCUCAAACUGCUGACAAAUGUUUCUGCUGCUCUAAAGUCUGGUCUCCAGAACUUCCUAAAAACUCUCAAAGUCUCUUCUGCUGCAGGUUGCUUUGUAGAACUGUUCCAGAAAACCUCACUAAACCACAUGGAGGGGCCUCAAGAUAGUCGUCCAAAUGAAACCGUACAAAAACCAAACUAACACAACCCAAACACUAAAGUCUCCUGCAGCCUACCAGAGAAGCUCUGAGAACAGAGAAUCAGGACAGGAACUCUUACCUUCUGGACAACCAACGCUGGUUCACAA